rnacentral:lncRNA from 1 species
CUCUUUAUUAUACUCCCUAUUAUUUCUUUCCAUGGUGACAACCUCAUUUUGGAAUAAGUUCUGUUGUGUUUGUGAAAGUUUACAUUACUUUUUUUUUUUUUCUUUUUUUUGGGGGGGGUGGUGGUGGUGGGGCAAUGGGGCUGCAGGCAUUGUCUGGGUGAGCCUCCACAAGGAAGCCCUGAAGUCCCUCCUGGCUCAAAGCAGCCCCAAAGAGAGCUGGGAGGUCUGCAAAGUCCAUGCUGGCAUUGUGGUCCGAGAUCGCUCGAAUGAGCCCCCGGCUGUCCUCCUGGCCGCCGCGGUACCUUCAAGUCUUCGAGAGAGGCCUCAGCACCUUUCCCCCCCACCAGCUGACAUCUUCCUAUGCAGAGAUAGGACCCUUGUUUAUGAAUUUCCAAGCCUAAAUUUCUUAUACUGCAUCAUGCAUCUCCUCAAUGUUCGGCACUAAUGAGGUAAGACAUCAUCUAAAAUUAGGCAGUCAAUCCCCCAUGGCAUUUGACGUGGGGGCUGUGAUUUCUGGAGAGUCAAG